CUGCCCCGGGCACCGGCGUCGGAGGAGGAGGAGGAGGCCGGGGAGGAGCCCGCGGCGCCGGAGUCCGGCGCAAAGUGAAACUCCGGGAAGCCGCGCGCCCUCGGGCGGGGCCGCGUCCCGGCUCCCCUCGGCCAGCAGCGGCUAUGGCUCUGAGCAAAGGGCUGCGGCUGCUGGCGCGGCUGGACCCCACGGGCCCGAGCAGCGUGCUGCUGGAGGCGCGGGGCCGUGAUGACUGCCUGCUCUUCGAGGCCGGUGCGGUGGCCACGCUGGCUCCGGAAGAGAAGGAAGUCAUUAAAGGACAGUAUGGCAAGCUGACGGAUGCCUAUGGCUGCCUCGGGGAGCUGAGGUUAGGAUCCGGUGGCAUCCCCUUGAGUUUUCUGGCGUUGGUGACAGGCUGCACAUCAGUGGGCAGAAUUCCAGACGCGGAAAUCUACAAAAUUACUGCCACUGAGUUUUACCCCCUUCAGGAAGAGGCCAAGGAAGAGGAUCGCCUGCUCGCCUUGAAGAAAAUCCUGAGCUCAGGGGUAUUUUAUUUCGCAUGGCCCAACGAUGGCUCCUGUUUUGAUCUGACCAUCAGGGCACAGAAACAGGGUGAUGACUGCUCUGAAUGGGGAACCUCCUUCUUCUGGAACCAGCUAUUGCAUGUGCCCCUGAGGCAGCACCAGGUGAGCUGCUGUGACUGGUUGCUGAAAAUCAUCUGUGGGGUGGUGACCAUCCGCACGGUGUAUGCCUCCCACAAGCAGGCCAAGGCCUGUCUCAUCUCUCGCAUCAGCUGUGAACGUGCAGGUGCUCGCUUCCUCACCCGUGGCGUAAAUGACGAUGGCCACGUGUCCAACUUCGUGGAGACAGAGCAGACGAUUUACAUGGAUGAUGGGGUAUCGUCCUUUGUCCAGAUCCGAGGCUCCGUCCCGCUGUUCUGGGAGCAGCCAGGGCUUCAGGUUGGCUCCCAUCAUCUGAGGCUACACAGAGGCCUAGAGGCCAAUGCCCCUGCUUUUGAAAGGCACAUGGUGCUUCUGAAGGAGCAGUACGGGAAGCAGGUGGUUGUGAACCUGCUGGGAAGCAGAGGUGGUGAAGAGGUGCUCAACAGGGCUUUCAAGAAGCUGCUCUGGGCUUCUUGCCACGCAGCCGACACGCCUAUGAUAAAUUUUGACUUCCAUCAGUUUGCCAAAGGUGGGAAGCUAGAGAAAUUGGAGAACCUGUUGAGGCCUCAGUUAAAGCUACACUGGGAUGACUUUGGUGUGUUUGCAAAGGGCGAGAAUGUAAGUCCACGUUUUCAGAAAGGCACUCUGCGGAUGAACUGUCUCGACUGCCUGGACAGAACCAACACUGUGCAGUGCUUCAUUGCUCUUGAGGUCCUUCACCUGCAGCUUGAGAGCCUGGGGCUGAAUUCAAAGCCCAUCACUGACCGCUUUGUGGAGUCCUUCAAAGCCAUGUGGUCUCUGAAUGGGCAUGGCCUGAGCAAGGUGUUCACAGGGAGCAGGGCCCUGGAAGGAAAGGCCAAGGUGGGGAAGCUGAAGGAUGGGGCCCGAUCCAUGUCUCGUACCAUCCAGUCCAACUUCUUCGAUGGGGUGAAACAGGAGGCCAUCAAGCUACUGCUAGUUGGAGAUGUCUACAAUGAAGAGUCCACCGACAAAGGAAGGAUGCUGCUGGGCAACACGGCGCUUCUGGUGACCCCCAGGAUCCUGAAGGCCAUGACAGAACGACAGUCAGAAUUCACGAAUUUCAAGCGGGUCCAGAUUGCUGUGGGAACCUGGAAUGUGAACGGAGGAAAGCAAUUCCGUAGCAAUCUCCUGGGAACCGCCGAGCUCACGGACUGGCUCCUGGAUGGCCCCCAGCUCUCAGGAGCAGUGGACUCCCAGGAUGAUGGCAGUCCCGCUGACGUAUUUGCCGUGGGGUUUGAAGAGAUGGUGGAGCUGAGUGCGGGAAAUAUUGUCAAUGCCAGCACCACCAACAGGAAGAUGUGGGGUGAGCAGCUUCAGAAAGCCAUCUCCCGCUCCCAUCGGUACAUCCUCUUGACCUCCGCACAGCUGGUGGGCGUGUGUCUUUAUAUCUUUGUCCGUCCGUACCAUGUCCCGUUCAUCAGGGACGUGGCCAUCGACACGGUGAAGACUGGCAUGGGGGGAAAGGCGGGGAAUAAGGGCGCCGUGGGCAUCCGCUUCCAGUUCCACAGCACCAGCUUCUGCUUCAUCUGCAGCCACCUGACGGCUGGGCAGUCUCAGGUGAAGGAGAGGAACGAAGACUACCGGGAGAUUACGCACAAGCUCUCCUUCCCGGCGGGGAGAAACAUAUUUUCACACGAUUAUGUGUUUUGGUGUGGUGAUUUCAACUACCGCAUCGACCUUACCUAUGAAGAAGUCUUCUAUUUUGUUAAACGACAAGACUGGAAGAAGCUUAUGGAAUUUGACCAGUUACAGCUACAGAAGUCAAGUGGGAAAAUUUUUAAAGACUUUCAUGAGGGAACCAUUAACUUUGGACCCACCUAUAAGUAUGAUGUUGGAUCAGCUGCCUAUGACACAAGUGAUAAGUGCCGUACCCCAGCCUGGACAGACAGGGUGCUGUGGUGGAGGAAGAAGCAUCCUCACGAUAAGACGGCUGAAGAACUCAACCUUCUAGACAGUGAUCUAGAUGGUGAUGCCAAGAUCAGACAUACCUGGUCUCCAGGAACUCUCAAAUACUACGGCCGUGCGGAGCUGCAAGCAUCUGAUCACAGACCUGUGCUGGCCAUCGUGGAGGUGGAGGUGCAAGAGGUCGACGCAGGAGCCCGAGAGAGAGUUUUCCAGGAAGUGUCCUCCGUCCAGGGUCCUCUGGAUGCCACCGUUGUUAUAAACCUUCAGUCUCCAACUCUAGAAGAGAAAAAUGAAUUUCCAGAGGACCUGCGCACAGAACUUAUGCAGACUUUGGGGAAUUAUGGGACCAUUGUUCUGGUCAGGAUCAACCAAGGGCAGAUGCUGGUGACAUUUGCAGAUAGCCACUCGGCUCUCAGCGUGCUAGGUGUGGAUGGUAUGAAGGUGAAAGGCAGGGCCGUGAAGAUUCGACCAAAGACCAAAGAUUGGCUGGAAGGCUUGAGAGAGGAGCUUGUUCGGAAGCGGGACAGCAUGGCCCCUGUGUCUCCCACCGCCAACUCCUGCUUGCUGGAGGAGAACUUUGACUUCACGAGUCUGGAUUAUGAGUCAGAAGGGGAUGUUAUUGAAGAUGAAGAAGACUAUUCGGUGGAUGAGUUUGGCCAGCCUGUGGUCUCAGACAGCGAUCUUGGCGGAGACGACUCUUGUGAUACCACGCGCUCCUCGGCACCUGCCAGCAAAUCUCCCGCACUGGCUAAAAAGAAGCAACACCCGACCUACAAAGACGAUGCUGACCUCGUGAAGUUAAAGCAGGAGCUGGAAGCUGCUGGGGAUUUUCGCCACCGUUCUCCGAGCAGGUCCCUGUCCGUCCCCAAUAGGCCUCGGCCACCUCACCCACCACAGAGACCCCCCCCUCCAACCGGUUUAAUGGUGAAGAAGUCGGCCUCAGAUGUGUCCAUCUCCUCUGGCACUCAUGGGCAGUAUUCAAUCUUGCAGACUGCGAAGCUUCUUCCAGGGGCCCCUCAGCAGCCGCCCAAGGCAAGAACUGGAAUAAGUAAACCUUACAACGUCAAACAGAUCAAAACCACCAAUGCUCAGGAGGCGGAAGCAGCCAUCCGGUGUCUCCUGGAAGCUGGCGGGGGUAUUCCAGAAGUAGCCCCAGGUCACAUGACCCUGAGAGACCAAGGGUCUUCCAGGCCAGAGCCUAUGUCCGUAGGAGGCAAGCCAGAGGCCUCCCUGGGGCCGCAAGCCCUCCCCCGCCGGCCUGCUCCUAGGGUCCCUGCCAUGAAGAAGCCAACUUUGAGGAGAACAGGAAAGACCAUGUUACCAGAAGAACAGUCUGAGCAGCAGCCUGUCCAGUUUACACUCGCUUCCCAGGAAAUGAGCCUUGAGACCCCUCCUGCAGCGACAGCCCCUCAAGUUCCGCCUGUUCCCAAACCAAGAACAUUUCCGCUUGGGAAAGGCGUUGAGAGGAGGCUGAGCAGUGGCAAGCCAGCACUGGAUGAAGCUCCUCCCAUGACAGGCUCUGUGGAGUUGGCGCCCCCAGAGGCCGCGUCCCUGGCUCCCAAGGUGCCCCCACGGAGAAAGAAGUCCGCACCAGCGACCUUCCACCUGCAGGUCUUGCAGAGCAACAGCCAACUUCUCCAGGACCUCACAUAUUCCAGCAGCUCUCCCUCCCCACUGCAGCCCGACACCCACCCGCUCUGUCCACAAGCUGGCCUUCUUGGCACUUCAUCUGCCAUAAGCCCUGAAACUGAUGGCCCCAGAGUGACGGAUCCCACGGCAGCCUCUUCUCAUGGAGAUUAUCCAGAUCCCUUCUGGAGCCUUCUCCACCACCCUAAGCUGUUGAAUAAUAACUGGCUGUCCAAGAGCUCUGAGCCUUUAGACUUGGGGUCCAGGAACCCCGAGAGGACACACAGAGACCCAGCACAGGUCGGCACAUCUGUGGCUGAGAGGGGCCUCCCACCAGACCAUGGGGGAAAAGACUUCAGCCACUGGGCGAGAGCCAGUAACAAAGACAAGAGAACAACGUUGGGCGUUUGACCCACUGGCAAGAAGAUGACUAGACUCUGAAGAUGCUUUCAUCCCAAAUGUGGGCAUUGCUUGACCUGGUCAAGUGGGAUGUCAAUUUAAAGCUUCACUGAAGCCCUUUGCUUACCUGUCAGUCCUGUGUAGUUUACAAACAGCCUCCCAUUCAGUACGGUUAUUAUCCGUCCAGUCUCCAAAAUGUUUCACUCAAGACCUGUGUAUUUUAAGCUUGUUCUCAGGAGAAUGGGAAAUGUAUGGUUGGAUUCAGCAUACAGUUUUUAAAGAAAAGAAAUAUGGAUGCCGGAGAUGCUCUCACCUACUGGAUUUUAAACAGUUGUUCAGUUUAUGUGUGUAUGCCAUUUGCUUGUUGUUUUUGUUUGUGAUUUACAGGUUUGAGAUAAGUGGUCGGCUCAUAAGAGAUGACAUUAAAAACAGUUGGGACCAUUAAGAGCUGUUCUGGCCCACUUUAAACCAGGUUAAGAAAAAAAUAAAUGAACAGAAUUGAAAACAGCAAAUAGGUCAGUGGCAUGGCUGGGCCAUCCAUUCCUGUGAGCUCAUUUUGUGGAGUGCCCUUCCCAGCUACAGUUCUGCUUCUCCAGGCUCUGCAGAAAGACCUUGUCUGCAUCGAGCACGUGUCUUCUGUCGUAACAGGGGUAAACUACCUGCAGCCAGCUGAACAUGCACAGGAGGGUAGGUAGGGACUACACAACUACUGUGCCAUUGGGGACCUGAGUCUAAGGAUUCAGGUACCUCGGGGAUCCCGGCCAUGAUCUCCCACAGAUACUCAGGUGACUACCCUGUGUAUUAGCUUUACGUAUCAUUCCUGUGAGAGCUGUUGACAACACAAUCUGGGUUGUGACAUGUGCAGCAUGAGCUUACGCCCCACUCAGAUUUGGAGCCGCUGACUUCCGCAUGCCCUGUACACCGCCAUGGCCUGGAGCUAUGGUGUGCUGCUUAACCCCAUUAGGAAGCUGAUCCAAGACAGCAAGUCUGGGUUUGUCCGUAUGUCUGUCAGGUCUGGUGCCUCUCCAUUUUCAUGCACUUCCAGUACUUCUCGUCUCUUCAAGAACUGACAGACUCCGUGAUGCUGCUUUAUAUCUUUAAAACGCUGUGAGGUCUAGAACCUACUUGAAGCAGACACCACAUUUUUGUGUAUGAAAAGCUCACUAGCUGAAGAAGGCCGAGUUGGGUGGGUCGCAAGGUCACGACCAGCCUGGGACAGAGCAAGAUCCCUUUUUUCAGAAAGAAAUUCAUUAGCAAAUCUUAUUAUGCCAAGGCCACAUUUAGGAUUCUGUUACACCACAGGCCCAUCCAGCAAUAUCCAGUGUUGCCCUUACAAGCAAGCCUGCAGUGACUCCUGAUGCCUGGGAUCGUCACAGCCAUUCAUUCCUCAUUGCCCACCAGUCUGCUGGGGUUUCAUAAAUUAUCUUCACUGUCACGUUCAAGAUAUCUUGCAAAUUAUUUAAAUCUGGCAUUCAAGAACAAGACUCCAUGUAUCUACUUUCAUCUGAAAUCUGAUCAGAGAAAAAGGAGCAGCUGACCCCAGAGAUAAGCAGAUAAUACAUAUAUUUGGCCGCUAUAAAAUAUGGCGUGGGGGCCUGGAGAUAGGGCUCAGCAGUUAAGAGCACAGGCUGCUCUUCUAGAGGACCCAGGUUUGAAUCCCAGCACCUACACAGUGGCUCACAACCAGGUGUAACUCCAAUCCCACAGGACCCAAUGUGCACACAAGGUGCACAGACAUAUGUGCGGGCAAGUAAAGAAAAUAAAACCCCAAUAAAAUAAUGGAAAAAAAUUAAAGAUGACAUGUAGAUGAUCAGGGUGCUUUCUGUGGCCCUUAAGAUAGUGUAGUUCACCUCGUGUGUUCGUUCUACAAAUAAAACCUUAUAGAAAGUGUCAGAGAAGAAAGUGAAGUGGGCUGCUGGGAGAUGGUAAGGGUUGGCCACAACGUUUCUUCCCGAAAGUGCAGUCAGGAAUGGGGGGGGCUUACUUUUAAAAACUCAGAUGCCCUCUUCUUAUCUAUACCUUCUUUUCCCACCACAGAAGAGGUAGAUCUGCCAGCAGACAAAUGUAGCCCUCCAGUCAGAAAGGCAGCAGGGAGCUCAGCUCCCAAGAUGACCUGGUGUGAGAAGAACUCCAGCGUGUAGUUUUCUUUGCUCUACAUAGCAAUCGACUGGCACAGAAGCCAGGAGCCCCCCCUAAGGCGCGCUCAUCAGAGCAGCAGCUGCUCCCAGAGUCUAAAAGUGAAGAACCAACACGCAGGACGUGACCCCCACUCGGAACACAAGAUGAACUAAAAAAGAAUGACCCCAGCACUGCCUAGACUCCCUGGAUAAAAGCUGUAUUAAAGACUGUGACAUGAGGUUUCAGGACCCCGAGUUUUCACCAUUACUGAUCCCUCCACGGACCUACACGGUGUUCUGACUUGACAUCUUCAUGAGCAAGGAGUCCCCUCCACCCUUACAGUGGACAGAGAUGUUAGCCCAGGCCCGGGUAUGAAGUCACCUGGUGGCCACUGUCUUUCUCCAGGCUCCUCUUACAUCUCAAAGACACAGAGAUGACAUUUCUCAUUUCUACCUUGUUUUCACUGGGUGUAGUCUGGUUUACUGUAAUUGUGUUAUAACUGUUUUGUCUGUUUUGUUUUGUUUUCCAGACAGGGUUUCUCUGUGUAGCCAUGGCUGUCCUGGAACUCACUCUGUAGGUCAGGCUGUGCUCGAACUCAGAGAUCCAUCUGCCUCUGCCUCCCAGGUGCUGGUAUUAAAGGCGUUCACGAACACCAUUAUCCAGCUAAGAAAAUGUUUUCUAAACCCAAAACUUUUGUAAAGAAAAAUAAGGCAGAAAGGAACCAUCAAGUAUGAGGAAAAAAGCAUAAAAUGUUAAAAUAAUUUUUGGUUAAUAUAAGGCUGACAUCAAGGGAAAUGCUUUGUAAGAUUCUGUCCUCAAGGGAUUCUGUCCAAAAGAGAAAGGAAAAAGGACAGACCUGGCAAGUGACAGUGUGUCCUAAGGUGUGCAGCAGGUAAUGGCUAAGGAGCGCCUGUGCAUGGCCACACUUCCUAUAGUUAAAGGCUAGCACCAUCCCGUGGGCACAGAACCAAAACUCAGGUUUCUAUGUACAGGAAUAAAACUCCACAUUUACAAAAAGACAAAGUUGGCUGAGGGAACACAGCUUUUGUUUCAUUCCUCAGUCAAUGUACCUGUUAAAACCUGAUGGUUUAACUGUUUUCUUUGUUGUGCUUUUUCCUCUUUCACUUAUAAAAACACCAAACAGGAACCAAAACUCCCACCAUACACCACUAGCGUGUUUGUCUUUGCUCAGCAUCUUUCCUCUUUUUCUUGUUCUUCUGAAGGCUUUAAAGAACAAAUGAGGGUUUUGUUUUUGAUUUUUAUAGAAUUGUUUUUAAAAGAGUGAAGAAAAAAAAUGAUGAUUUGAUUUGAUUCAAAUGCCUCCAAAUGAGCCCUUAAUGUUUCCACCAACCAAAAGCUAGCAUGUUACCAGGUAACACUGAAACCUAUUCCCAUUUUUCCCUGGUUUGCUAUCUCCCUAUCUGAUGCUCCUACCACAGUAUUUGGUAAAUAUAUUUACUCAUGAUUUUCUUCAUGUUCUAUGACUACAGAAUUAGACUGUGGAACAAGCCUGCCCAGGUAACCUGAAGCCUGAACCAUGAUCACUCAGCUCAGAAUAAACUCUUACUCCUUUUGGAGUGACAGCUGGGAUUGCACUGGUCAUUGUAACUUUGUUGUUGUUUUUCGAGACAGGGUUUCACUGUGUAAUAGCCCCGGACUCCUUUUGUAGACCAGGCUGACCUCGAGAAAUCCGAGAUCUACCUGCCUCCACCUCAUAACAUUUUAUGUGCUAGUUAGACUGAACCAAUAAAUUCAUAUUUUGCAGA